rnacentral:rRNA from 1 species
UGGGGAAUUUUGGACAAUGGGGGCAACCCUGAUCCAGCCAUGCCGCGUGCGGGAAGAAGGCCUUCGGGUUGUAAACCGCUUUUAGCCGGGAAGAAAAGGCGAGGGAUAACACCCCUCGUUCUUGACGGUACCGGCGGAAUAAGCACCGGCUAACUACGUGCCAGCAGCCGCGGUAAUACGUAGGGUGCGAGCGUUAAUCGGAAUUACUGGGCGUAAAGCGUGCGCAGGCGGUUCGUUAAGUUCGUUGUGAAAGCCCCGGGCUCAACCUGGGAACGGCAAUGGAAACUGGCGGGCUUGAAUGCGGCAGAGGGGGGUGGAAUUCCGCGUGUAGCAGUGAAAUGCGUAGAGAUGCGGAGGAACACCGAUGGCGAAGGCAGCCCCCUGGGCCGACAUUGACGCU